GACGUAGGGCGCGAGCGUUGUCCGGAUUUAUUGGGCGUAAAGCGCUCGUAGGCGGCUUGUCGCGUCGGAUGUGAAAACCCGGGGCUCAACCCCGGGCCUGCAUUCGAUACGGGCAGACUAGAGUUCGGUAGGGGAGUCUGGAAUUCCUGGUGUAGCGGUGAAAUGCGCAGAUAUCAGGAGGAACACCGGUGGCGAAGGCGGGACUCUGGGCCGAUACUGACGCUGAGGAGCGAAAGCGUGGGGAGCAAACAGG
rnacentral:rRNA from 1 species